UACGUAGGUGGCAAGCGUUGUCCGGAAUUAUUGGGCGUAAAGCGCGCGCAGGUGGUUUCUUAAGUCUGAUGUGAAAGCCCACGGCUCAACCGUGGAGGGUCAUUGGAAACUGGGGAACUUGAGUGCAGGAGAGAAGAGUGGAAUUCCACGUGUAGCGGUGAAAUGCGUAGAUAUCUGGAGGAACACCGGUGGCGAAGGCGGCAUCCUGGACCGGCAUUGACGCUGAGGCGCGAAAGCCAGGGGAGCAAACGGG
rnacentral:rRNA from 1 species